rnacentral:rRNA from 1 species
CCUACGGGAGGCUGCAGUAAGGAAUAUUGGUCAAUGGGCGCGAGCCUGAACCAGCCAAGUCGCGUGAGGGAUGAAGGUUCUAUGGAUCGUAAACCUCUUUUAUAAGGGAAUAAAGUGUGGGACGUGUCCUAUUUUGUCUGUACCUUAUGAAUAAGGAUCGGCUAACUCCGUGCCAGGCGCCGCGGUAAUACGGAGGAUCCGAGCGUUAUCCGGAUUUGGUGGGUUUAAAGGGUGCGUAGGCGGCCUUUUAAGUAUGCGGUGAAAGUCUGUGGCUUAACCAUAGAAUUGCCGUUGAAACUGGGGGGCUUGAGUAUGUUUGAGGCGGGCGGAAUGCGUGGUGUAGCGGUGAAAUGCUUAGAUA